GACGAACGCUGGCGGCGUGCUUAACACAUGCAAGUCGAACGGAAAGGCCCUGCUUUUGUGGGGUGCUCGAGUGGCGAACGGGUGGGUAACACGUGAGUAACCUGCCCUUGACUUUGGGAUAACUUCAGGAAACUGGGGCUAAUACCGGAUAGGAGCUCCUGCUGCAUGGUGGGGGUUGGAAAGUUUCGGCGGUUGGGGAUGGACUCGCGGCUUAUCAGCUUGUUGGUGGGGUAGUGGCUUACCAAGGCUUUGACGGGUAGCCGGCCUGAGAGGGUGACCGGCCACAUUGGGACUGAGAUACGGCCCAGACUCCUACGGGAGGCAGCAGUGGGGAAUAUUGCAAAAUGGGCGGAAGCCUGAUGCAGCAACGCCGCGUGCGGGAUGACGGCCUUCGGGUUGUAAACCGCUUUCGCCUGUGACGAAGCGUGAGUGACGGUAAUGGGUAAAGAAGCACCGGCUAACUACGUG
rnacentral:rRNA from 1 species